CUUCGUCGACAAGUUCUUUCCUUUUCCGACUGCCGAACGCGUUAGCGUAAACUCCGGAAAUCAGGGAAACGAUUCUUUCCUCGGAUUUCAAUUUCCCUAUUCAGCUGUUUGUUUCCGAUUUAUAGUUGUGAAUUAAAAGUCAUCAACUCGAAAGUCGUGUCCAGUUCAGUAUCUCCCUCUGCAAAUUCCAACGGCGACGGCGAAUUCAAACUCUGGCUGGCGAACUCCUCCUAGAUUUCUGAAAAUCGGAUCAGAGAUUCCGCUCUUCGUCGGAAGAAACUCAUGUGAAUCAACCAGAGGAGCCUCGACUCUUGUAGCCAGGAACAAGAAAGCACAUCGCCAUCGAGCUCUGUUUUCAUCAAUGGUGGAUUCGUAAUUAAUUUCAUUUACCACGUUUUGGUCAUUAUACUUUUCAGUAAUUACAUUACGAAUAUGAAACUUUUAGAAUAUGAUAUAUUAGUUAUAAAACAGCCCCUUGUUACUGCCGUAGCCAGAAAGUUUCUGUUUGUGACAGAAGAAACCCAACAGAUUUUGAUGGAUUCGAUCAUUGCAAAUAAUGUAGUUUCGAUCUUUUUAAUAAAAUAUGGAUUAACGAAUUAUAGAUGGGACUUGAUAUAUUUAAUAUAUGAAUUUCUAGGAUGAUAAUAAAUUGAUUAAUUAUGAUUAAAUAAUUUCGUUGAUAAUGAUUUCGGUUAAAUGUUUAAAUUGGAUUUUAAAUGGAUGUUUAGGUAGUUUGAUAUUGGAAUAGGUUGAAAUGUGAUUAAUUGAAAAUAAUUAGAAUUUGAUAAAUUUUGGUUAUCAAAUUAAGUCUUUAUAAUUGAUUUUUAGGAAAAGUUAAUUGGAUUAUAAAUAAUAGAUGGAUUAAUGGUCAAAAUCAGUUGGGUAUAAAAUUGAUUUAGUAUGACUAAUAUGAUUGUAAAAUAAUAAUAUGUCUUAGUAUACAUUUAGUAUGAUUAGGAAUUUCUAUAUGAAUAGAAUGGAUCAAUAGUUAAUUUGUAUGAUCUAUUAGAAAUUGUUUAUAAAUAAGUUGGUAGAUUAAAUUUAAUUUUUAUGUUGUUGUAGUUAGGUUACAUGUUAUGUUUUGUGUUGUGUCAUGAUUAGUAGUUACUUUAUGUUAUUACUUUUAUAUUACAAGGUGAUACGUCUUUUAGUUAUGACAAGGUUAGACAAACGAUAAUCUUUCACUAUUAAUGUUAGAAUUAUGACAACGAUAGAUGACAAGUGAGGAGUGAACAGGAACACCGACACCUAAAUGAUUAACAGGAGAUUAAAAGCAUGAACUCACUACCUAGACUAUCGCCCACAUGAUUCGAGCCAGUAUUGCUCACACGAUAUGUUUUCUGACGAAUACGUUCUCCAAUACAUCCACGAUUUUUUUCACGAUAUGUUGUUUGACGGAUACGUUCUCCCAGACAUCCGUGAUUUUCACAAUUUGGGCAGUAGGGCUAGUUAGUUGAGUUGGGGGACAACCCAUAAGAUUUAAGAUACCUCAGAUAAGGUUAAGAAUAAGUACAAAAAUUAAUGUCAUGUAAUUGACUUCCACGAACAUGAUGAUUAGGAUAUAACAAGUUAUAAGACACUCUCGAUUCCUUAAUGCACCUAACAUGAUUGAUUUAAGUUUCAAUCUUCGAUGAUGAUUAUUUGUUACAAUCUCUUGUUAUGUUAUGAUUACAUAAAGAUGACUUUUAAUGUGAUGCGUUUAUUCAAAAGUAUAUUGCUAUGAAAUUUCAUGACUUGUAUUGCAAUGUUUACUUGAAAUUCUCAUUUAUGAUAUGAGCACGAAAGACUAAUCCCGAACCACCCACCAGGGUGUUGAUAGUUAUUGCAGGAGCAGUCUGAAGCUGAUUCAGGAUGUGGCAUUGUAGACUUGGAUUUUGAA
rnacentral:lncRNA from 1 species